rnacentral:rRNA from 1 species
AGUGAACGCUGGCGGUAGGCCUAACACAUGCAAGUCGAACGGCAGCACAGUAAGAGCUUGCUCUUACGGGUGGCGAGUGGCGGACGGGUGAGGAAUACAUCGGAAUCUACUUUUUCGUGGGGGAUAACGUAGGGAAACUUACGCUAAUACCUCAUACGACCUACGGGUGAAAGCAGGGGAUCUUCGGACCUUGCGCGAUUGAAUGAGCCGAUGUCGUAUUAGCUAGUUGGCGGGGUAAAGGCCCACCAAGGCGACGAUCCGUAGCUGGUCUGAGAGGAUGAUCAGCCACACUGGAACUGAGACACGGUCCAGACUCCUACGGGAGGCAGCAGUGGGGAAUAUUGGACAAUGGGCGCAAGCCUGAUCCAGCCAUAGCGCGUGGGUGAAGAAGGCCUUCGGGUUGUAAAGCCCUUUUGUUGGGAAAGAAAAGCAGCAGGUUAAUACCCAGCUGUUCUGACGGUACCCAAAGAAUAAGCACCGGCUAACUUCGUG